rnacentral:rRNA from 1 species
CAAGGAGUUUAUCGUGUACGCAAGUCAUUGGGUGUUUAAAACCCAAAGGCGAAAUGAAAGUAAAGAGUGGAUUAUUGUAAAAAAAAAUGUAUUUUUUUUUACAAUAUCUCUUAAGGGAAGAUGGAAAUUGGACAAAUAAGUAAUUAUUUGUGUUAAAAUUUCCCGCACUCCCAGGGCGCUUGUAUUUUGCUUUGCAAAUCGAUGCGCACCUAGAGCGUACACGAUGAUACCCGAAAGAUGGUGAACUAUGCCUGGCCAGGACGAAGCCAGGGGAAACCCUGGUGGAGGUCCGCAGCGAUUCUGACGUGCAAAUCGAUCGUCGGAGCUGGGUAUAGGGGCGAAAGACCAAUCGAACCAUCUAGUAGCUGGUUCCCUCUGAAGUUUCCCUCAGGAUAGCUUGCACUCGGUUGAGAAGAGUCUCAUCCGGUAGAGCGAAUGAUUAGAGGCAUUGGGGUCGAAACGACCUCAACCUAUUCUCAAACUCCAAAUAGAUGAGAUCCCCGGCUUUCUUAAAAGUGAAGCCGUGGGGAUAUGAUCAGAGUGCCAAGUGGGCCAAUUUU